rnacentral:tRNA from 1 species
GCGGAAGUGGUGGAACUGGUAGACGCGCUAGAUUCAGGGUCUAGUGUACGCAAGUACGUGGGGGUUCAAAUCCCCCCUUCCGCA